rnacentral:SRP_RNA from 1 species
GCCGGGCGCGGUGGCGCGCGCCUGUAGUCCCAGCUACUCGGGAGGCUGAGGCUGGAGGAUCGCUUGAGCCCAGGAGUUCUGGGCUGCAGUGCGCUAUGCCGAUCGGGUGUCCGCACUAAGUUCGGCAUCAAUAUGGUGACCCUCCGGGAGCGGGGACCACCAGGUUGCCUAAGGAGGGGUGAACCGGCCCAGGUCGGAAACGGAGCAGGUCAAAACUCCCGUGCUGAUCAGUAGUGGGAUCGCGCCUGUGAAUAGCCACUGUACUCCAGCCUGGGCAACAUAGCGAGACCCCGUCUCUU